CUGUCCAUAAAACAAAGCGUAAAGAGAUUAGAUCGGUAAAUUCCGAAACAUCGGUCUGCACCAUAUUUUGAAUUUGGUCGGGU
rnacentral:tRNA from 1 species